rnacentral:rRNA from 1 species
GAUGAACGCCGGCGGUGUGCCUAAUACAUGCAAGUCGUACGCACUGGCCCAACUGAUUGAUGGUGCUUGCACCUGAUUGACGAUGGAUCACCAGUGAGUGGCGGACGGGUGAGUAACACGUAGGUAACCUGCCCCGGAGCGGGGGAUAACAUUUGGAAACAGAUGCUAAUACCGCAUAACAACAAAAGCCACAUGGCUUUUGUUUGAAAGAUGGCUUUGGCUAUCACUCUGGGAUGGACCUGCGGUGCAUUAGCUAGUUGGUAAGGUAACGGCUUACCAAGGCGAUGAUGCAUAGCCGAGUUGAGAGACUGAUCGGCCACAAUGGAACUGAGACACGGUCCAUACUCCUACGGGAGGCAGCAGUAGGGAAUCUUCCACAAUGGGCGCAAGCCUGAUGGAGCAACACCGCGUGAGUGAAGAAGGGCAAUGCCGCUUGUAAAGCUCUUUCGUCGAGUGCGCGAUCAUGACAGGACUCGAGGAAGAAGCCCCGGCUAACUCCGUGCCAGCAGCCGCAGUAACAC